rnacentral:lncRNA from 1 species
UAUAACCGAAGGGGUUCCCCUAAAGGGGAAGACAAGGAAAGCGUUACUCUAUUUCCUAUAGUUCUAACCUAGUUAAAUACCAUCGUUCAACAUUUCAUGCUCUCCACCAAGCUAGACACGCUAAUAUUUGAAUGAGUGCAAAGCGGGGAUAUAAACUACAAGUAGUAGCUUAACGAAGCCCACUGUGAAUUUCUCGAACAAAGCAAUGUUGUAACGUAGUCUAAACUACAAUAGUCAUGUCGUAGCCAUUCCCCGAAGGGGACGACGUUAGCGUUACUAAUUAACGCUAGGGCUCAAGGGCGAAGACCCUUCCCCUCGUUUGCUUCCUUACCUUCCCCCUUCGGUUCCCCUUUAGGGGAGCCCAAAGGGGAUGCUUCCCCCCCUUCGGCAUCAUCCCCUAAAGGGGAACUAAAGUUCUUCCCCUAAAGGGGAUGAACUAAAGGGGAAGACGACAUCCCCGAAGGGGGAACAUCAUCCCCUAAAGGGGAACCAAAGUCAUCCCCGAAGGGGAAGAGCACUAAAGGGGAACUAAAGUUCCCCUUUAGUUU